UUUAGAGUAAAAGAAAAAGAGCAGCACAACCAGAACCCAGCUGCUUUUCUAUAAAGAGUGACACAUCCAUGCCAGAACCCCUUAGUUUUGGAGAUGGAGCAGUGACCUUUGAGACCAGAAGAAAAAGAGCAGCACAACCAGAACCCAGCUGCUUUUCUAUAAAGAGUAACACAUCCAUGCCAGAACCCCUUAGUUUUGGAGAUGGAGCAGUGACCUUUAAGCUCAGAGAUGAUGAGAUUGGAGACCUGCACAAGGAUUCUCAACAACCAAUACAUGAUGAAUUACAA